ACAUUGUUGAGGAGUCCCACAACGGGACGAAACGGCCGUUCAUUGU
rnacentral:hammerhead_ribozyme from 1 species